GCCGGUGUAGCUCAGGGGUAGAGCAACGCUUUCGUAAAGCGUGGGUCGCGGGUUCGAAUCCCAUCACCGGCUCCC
rnacentral:tRNA from 1 species